CCUACGGGAGGCAGCAGUGAGGAAUAUUGGUCAAUGGACGAGAGUCUGAACCAGCCAAGUAGCGUGAAGGAUGAAUGCCCUAUGGGUUGUAAACUUCUUUUAUAUGGGAAUAAAGUGGUCCACGUGUGGGAUUUUGUAUGUACCAUAUGAAUAAGGAUCGGCUAACUCCGUGCCAGCAGCCGCGGUAAUACGGAGGAUGCGAGCGUUAUCCGGAUUUAUUGGGUUUAAAGGGAGCGUAGGUGGAUUGUUAAGUCAGUUGUGAAAGUUUGCGGCUCAACCGUAAAAUUGCAGUUGAAACUGGCAGUCUUGAGUACAGUAGAGGUGGGCGGAAUUCGUGGUGUAGCGGUGAAAUGCUUAGAUAUCACGAAGAACUCCGAUUGCGAAGGCAGUUCACUGGACUGCAACUGACACUGAGGCUCGAAAGUGUGGGUAUCAAACAGGAUUAGAUACCCUUGUAGUC
rnacentral:rRNA from 1 species